GGGGUACCGGUACAGAGUCAAUGUGGAGGCUAUAUACAGGGGGUACCGGUACAGAGUCAAUGUGGAGGCUAUAUACAGGGGGUACCGGUACAGAGUCAAUGUGGAGGCUAUAUACAGGGGGUACCAGUACAGAGUCAAUGUGGAGGCUAUAUACAGGAGGUACCAGUACAGAGUCAAUGUGGAGGCUAUAUACAGGGGGUACCAGUACAGAGUUAAUGUGGAGGCUAUAUACAGGGGGUACCAGUACAGAGUCAAUGUGGAGGCUAUAUACAGGGGUACCAGUACAGAGUCAAUGUGGAGGCAUUAUACAGGAGGUAACAGUACAGAGUCAAUGUGGAGGCUAUAUACAGGGGGUACCAGUACAGAGUCAAUGUGGAGGCUAUAUACAGGGGU
ensembl:lncRNA